rnacentral:rRNA from 1 species
AGAACGAACGCUGGCGGCAUGCCUAAUACAUGCAAGUCGAACGAACUCUUCGGAGUUAGUGGCGCACGGGUGCGUAACGCGUGGGAAUCUGCCCUUGGGUUCGGAAUAACAGUUGGAAACGACUGCUAAUACCGGAUGAUGACGAAAGUCCAAAGAUUUAUCGCCCAGGGAUGAGCCCGCGUAGGAUUAGCUAGUUGGUGAGGUAAAGGCUCACCAAGGCGACGAUCCUUAGCUGGUCUGAGAGGAUGAUCAGCCACACUGGGACUGAGACACGGCCCAGACUCCUACGGGAGGCAGCAGUAGGGAAUAUUGGACAAUGGGCGAAAGCCUGAUCCAGCAAUGCCGCGUGAGUGAUGAAGGCCUUAGGUUGUAAAGCUCUUUUACCCGAGAUGAUAAUGACAGUAUCGGAGAAUAAGCCCCGGCUAACUCCGUGCCAGCAGCCGC